rnacentral:rRNA from 1 species
UACGUAGGGUGCGAGCGUUAAUCGGAAUUACUGGGCGUAAAGCGUGCGCAGGCGGUUCGUCGUGUCCGAUGUGAAAGCCCCGGGCUCAACCUGGGAAUGGCAUUGGAAACUGGCGGGCUUGAGUGUGGCAGAGGGGGGUGGAAUUCCUGGUGUAGCGGUGAAAUGCGUAGAUAUCGGGAGGAACACCAGUGGCGAAGGCGACUUCCUGGCCUGUUCUUGACGCUGAGGCGCGAAAGCCAGGGGAGCAAACGGG